UGGCUGAGUGGUAAAGCACUUGACUUCUGAACCAGGAGUCCCGGGUUUGAAUCCUGG
rnacentral:tRNA from 1 species